UCGAUUCAGCGUCGUCAAUUUACCCUUAGAUCAAAUUCGCACACUUCCACAAGAAAAUCAUCUAGUUUGGCUCUUUUUGACUGGCCUAUUCUUCCUUUUCGCGGCGUCGGUGCUGAAGAUCGCACGGAUCUACGUCGUCUCGUUAAUCUCAGGUAAUUAAAAAAUAUCCCAAAAAAUAUCCUAAAUAAUGCUGUUGCAGUGAUAAGAAAUAAUCAAGACACAAAUAUGUAAAAGAUGUUCAAUCAUUUUACUAGAAGAAAAAGAAAAUAUUAUUUUCGACUACGAUAAAAAGAAUCCGAUAUUACUAGGACCAUGAAAGAAUUGGCAGGACACCGCCUCUUAUUUUACAUACACUGGUAAAAUAUCAUACGCAGUAGUCUUCUAUCAAGAGAAUUGAGUUGCAGUGACAAGCAAUAAUCGAGACACAAAUAUGUAAAAGGUGUUCAAUCAAUGUACUGGAAAAGAAAGCGUAUGAUUU
rnacentral:lncRNA from 1 species